rnacentral:rRNA from 1 species
UGCCCACUGAUUAAUAAUUAAAGGGCUGCAGUAUUUUGACUGUACAAAGGUAGCAUAAUCAUUAGUCAUUUAAUUGAUGACUUGUAUGAAAGAUUGGAUGAAAUAUAAACUGUCUUUAAAUUAAAUAUAGAAUUUAAUUUUUAAGUUAAAAAGCUUAAAUAAUUUAAAAAGACGAGAAGACCCUAUAGAGUUUUAUUAUUUAUUUAGAUAAAUAUUUUUAUAAUUAUUAGUUAUAUUAAUUUUAAUAAAUAAUUUUAUUGGGGUGAUAGAAAAAUUUAAUUAACUUUUUUUAAUUACGUAAACAUAAAUAAGUGAAUAUUUUGAUCCAUAUUUUAUGAUUAUAAGAAAAAAUUACCUUAGGGAUAACAGCGUAAUUUUAUUUUUUAGUUCAAAUAAGAAAUAGAGUUUGCGACCUCGAUGUUGGAUUAAGAUAAAAUUUAAAUGCAGAAGUUUAAAAUUUUGA